rnacentral:rRNA from 1 species
CGUGAGGGAAAGAUGAAAAGCACUUUGAAAAGAGAGUCAAACAGUACGUGAAAUUGCUGAAAGGGAAACGCUUGAAGUCAGUCGCGCCCCCUGGAAUUCANNCCUGCUUUUGUAGGGUGUACUUUCCAGGGGGUGGGNCAACAUCAGUUUUGACCGGCAGAUAAAGGCCGGGGGAAUGUGGCUCCUUCGGGAGUGUUAUAGCCCCCAGUCACAUAUGCCGGUUGGGACUGAGGANNGCAGCGCGCCCUUGUGGCAGGCCUUCGGGCACUUUCGCGCUUAG